AUGCUUGAGUAGGAUGAAGUCAGAGGAAACUCUGAUGGAGGUCCGCAGCGGUUCUGACGUGCAAACAGCCCGAACGGAAAAUAAAUAU
rnacentral:ncRNA from 1 species